rnacentral:lncRNA from 1 species
UUGUCAAAUAAAACCCACAUGCAUUUGUUUGUUUCAGCUGUGUGCAGCCGGAAAUGUCUGUAUGGCGGAAUAUGUAUAUUGCCAAAUGUUUGUGCUUGUCGUCCUGGCUAUGGUGGAGUCACUUGCAGCAAAAAAAGUCUGGUACGUCACACCUGAAGAACAAAUCCGAACUCCUUGGAUUGCGUAAGCAUGCUGCACAGAUUACAUGGUUCUUAGAUGCAGAAAGGUUCUGUUGAGACAUCACUUCAUAAAGGGCAGAAUCCAGCCACUUCCAUAUACUGCAUAUGGACCUACUCUAAGCAGGAACAUUCCCUUCCUCUCUUCUGUACUUUGCUAGUUCUGAUAAGGGAAUAGUUUUGCUGCAAGCCAUUGAUGCUAAACAGAAGCCCUCCUGCUGUUCACCUGUAAGCACCCAGCGGCUUGCUGCUUCUCAGGCCCGUGGCACAUACCAUUCUUCCAGCAGAAAUACAGCAGCACCCUGCUAGGUACCUGGCUGCUGAAUAAUUAUAGGUAAUGUCAAGACAAACAUAGGUUUUCUAUGAAUGGUGAGCAGGUUGUCCAAGUGAGCACAGCAUUCCAGAGGUGUACAGGAGUAUACCAGUGGAAAACAAUACAACUGCAUUACACUCCUCCAUCUCUUACUCUUUGCCUCUAGAAGAAGCUGGAGUGUGCAGUGUUCAUCAAAGUCUGAUGAGAAGCCUCAGUCUCAUUUGGAAACAGAUUCAUUUUAACAGAACUGGGGCUUGAAAUUUAAAGAUCUGAAACCUAAUACAUUGCUUUUCAUCUCUGUUUCCCUUGCCACCCUAGUACUAAAAACCAUGGCUAUUGAUUUGUAUAAUAAAUAUUUAGAUAAGGCGUAUGAUCCA